GGGCUUGUGGCGGAAUUGGCAGACGCGCUGGAUUUAGGUUCCAGUGUCUACGGACGUGAGAGUUCAAGUCUCUCCAGGCCCA
rnacentral:tRNA from 1 species